rnacentral:rRNA from 1 species
UACAGAGGGUGCGUGCGUUAAUCGGAAUCACUGGGCGUAAAGGGCGCGUAGGCGGCCCAUGCCGUCGGCUCGUGAAAGCCCGGGGCUCAACCCCGGAGGUGCGGCCGAGACCCAUGGGCUGGAGGCCGGAAGAGGAGGGUGGAAUACCCAGUGUAGAGGUGAAAUUCGUAGAUAUUGGGUGGAACACCGGUGGCGAAAGCGGCUCUCUGGUCCGGUUCUGACGCUGAGGCGCGAAAGCGUGGGGAGCAAACAGG